GAUGAACGCUAGCUACAGGCUUAACACAUGCAAGUCGAGGGGUAACGAGAGGAAAGCUUGCUUUCCUUGUCGACGACCGGCGCACGGGUGAGUAACGCGUAUCCAACCUGCCCCCAACUAGGGAAUAACCUUGCGAAAGUAAGACUAAUACCCUAUAAUUUCCUCAGAUGACAUCUGACGAGGAAUAAAGAUUUAUCGGUUGUGGAUGGGGAUGCGUCUGAUUAGCUUGUUGGCGGGGUAACGGCCCACCAAGGCAACGAUCAGUAGGGGUUCUGAGAGGAAGGGCCCCCAAAUUGGAACUGAGACACGGUCCAAACUCCUACGGGAGGCAGCAGUGAGGAAUAUUGGUCAAUGGGCGGAAGCCUGAACCAGCCAAGUAGCGUGCAGGAUGACGGCCCUAUGGGUUGUAAACUGCUUUUAUACAGGAAUAAAGUUAGCCACGUGUGGUUAUUUGUAGGUACUGUAUGAAUAAGGACCGGCUAAUUCCGUGCCAGCCGCCGCAGUAA
rnacentral:rRNA from 1 species